rnacentral:rRNA from 1 species
UACUGUGAAGGAAAGGUGAAAAGGACCCCGGGAGGGGAGUGAAAGAGAACCUGAAACCCUGUGUUUACAAGCUGUGGAACAUCUUUAUAUGAUGAACCGCGUACUUUUUGUAGAACGGUCCGGCGAGUUGCGGAUGCCGGCAAGGUUAAGCACUUAAGGUGUGGAGCCGAAGGGAAACCAAGUCUGAACAGGGCGUCAAUAGUCAGUAUCCGCAGACCCGAAACCGGGUGAUCUACCCAUGUCCAGGUUGAAGUUGCCGUAAAAGGCAAUGGAGGACCGAACGCACAUCCGUUGAAAAGGGUGGCGAUGAGGUGUGGGUAGGGGAGAAAUUCCAAUCGAACCCGGAGAUAGCUGGUUCUCCUCGAAAUAGCUUUAGGGCUAGCCUCGUUUUAGUCUUAUGGAGGUAGAGCACUGAAUUUCCGCGGGGGCGUCAAAGCUUACCAAAGAAUAUCAAACUCCGAAUGCCAUGUAGAUGAUGAAUGGGAGUCAGACUGCACGAGAUAAGUUGGGUGGUCAAAAGGGAAAGAGCCCAGACCUACAGCUAAGGUCCCAAAGUGCGUGUUAAGUGGAAAAGGAUGUGGGAUUUCAAAGACAACCAGGAUGUUGGCUCAGAAGCAGCCAUACAUUCAAAGAGUGCGUAAUAGCUCACUGGUCGAGAGGUCCUGCGCCGAAAAUGUCCGGGGCUAAAACACGACACCGAAGCUGAGGAAUUCUAAGGAAUUGGUAGAGGAGCAUUGCAUAAGGGAAGAAGCAGUACCGAAAGGAGCUGUGGACUUUAUGGAAGAGAGAAUGCCGGAAUGAGUAGCGAGAGUAAGGUGAGAAUCCUUACGGCCGAAUAUCUAAGGUUUCCAGGGUAAAGCUGAUCUGCCCUGGGUAAGUCGGGACCUAAGGCGAGGUCGAAAGACGUAGUCGAUGGACAACAGGUUGAGAUUCCUGUACUGCGAUAUAACAGAACUGUGGGGACACGUGUGGAAAGCACAGCCCGGGAAUGGAAUCCCGGGGCAAGCGAGGUAGGAGUCUGGCAGGCAAAUCCGCCAGGCAAUCUGAAGACGUGAUGCGGACCGAAAAGAAGUAGGGAAGUGUGUGAGCCAUGCGUCGAGAAAAGCCGCUAUUGUUUAUAUCGUACCCGUACCGUAAACCGACACAGGUGGAUGAGGAGAGAAUCCUAAGGCCGACGGAAGAAGCAUUGUUAAGGAACUCGGCAAAAUGACCCCGUAACUUCGGGAGAAGGGGUGCCCUGUGAAAGCAGGGCCGCAGAGAAUAGGCUCAAGCAACUGUUUAGCAAAAACACAGGUCUAUGCGAAACCGAAAGGUGAGGUAUAUGGGCUGACGCCUGCCCGGUGCUGGAAGGUUAAGAGGAGAGGUUAGCGCAAGCGAAGCUUUGAAUUUAAGCCCCAGUAAACGGCGGCCGUAACUAUAACGGUCCUAAGGUAGCGAAAUUCCUUGUCGGGUAAGUUCCGACCC